GGGGAUUAGUGGCGAACGGGUGAGUAACACGUGGGCAAUCUGCCCUGCACUCUGGGACAAGCCCUGGAAACGGGGUCUAAUACCGGAUACUCACUGCCUUGGGCAUCCUUGGUGGUGGAAAGCUCCGGCGGUGCAGGAUGAGCCCGCGGCCUAUCAGCUAGUUGGUGAGGUAAUGGCUCACCAAGGCGACGACGGGUAGCCGGCCUGAGAGGGCGACCGGCCACACUGGGACUGAGACAGGCCCCANANUAAUACGGGAGGCAGCAGUGGGGAAUAUUGCACAAUGGGCGAAAGCCUGAUGCAGCGACGCCGCGUGAGGGAUGACGGCCUUCGGGUUGUAAACCUCUUUCAGCAGGGAAGAAGCGANAGUGACGGUACCUGCAGAAGAAGCGCCGGCUAACUACGUGCCAGCAGCCGCGGUAAUACGUAGGGCGCAAGCGUUGUCCGGAAUUAUUGGGCGUAAAGAGCUCGUAGGCGGCUUGUCACGUCGGUUGUGAAAGCCCGGGGCUUAACCCCGGGUCUGCAGUCGAUACGGGCAGGCUAGAGUUCGGUAGGGGAGAUCGGAAUUCCUGGUGUAGCGGUGAAAUGCGCAGAUAUCAGGAGGAACACCGGUGGCGAAGGCGGAUCUCUGGGCCGAUACUGACGCUGAGGAGCGAAAGCGUGGGGAGCG
rnacentral:rRNA from 2 species